rnacentral:tRNA from 1 species
AGUUUUAUAUUCAAAUAUGAUUUUAAAUUGCAAGUUUAAAGGUAAUUAUAAGUUUAAGGCUU